rnacentral:rRNA from 1 species
CCUACGGGGGGCUGCAGUGAGGAAUAUUGGUCAAUGGACGAGAGUCUGAACCAGCCAAGUAGCGUGAAGGAUGACUGCCCUAUGGGUUGUAAACUUCUUUUAUAAAGGAAUAAAACGAGGCACGUGUGCCUUUUUGCAUGUACUUUAUGAAUAAGGAACGGCCAAACCCGUGCCAGCAGCCGCGGUAAUACGGAGGAUCCGAGCGUUAUCCGGAUUUAGUGGGUUUAAAGGGAGCGUAGAUGGGUUGUUAAGUCGGUUGGGAAAGUUUGCGGGCUAACCGUAAAAUUGCAAUUGAUACUGGCGGCCUUGAGUACAGUUGAAGUAGGCGGAAUUCGUGGUGUAGCGGUGAAAUGCUUAGAUAUCACGAAGAACUCCGAUUGCGAAGGCAGCUUACUAAACUGCCACUGACAUUGAUGCUCGAAAGUGUGGGUAUCAAACAGGAUUAGAUACCCUUGUAGUC